rnacentral:snoRNA from 1 species
AGCCUAUGGUGAUGACACAUUCUCAAUAAAUCCUUAUACCUCUCCCAUGCAUCAUAUAAUGUCUCUAAAUCGACUUGCACAAAAGAAGAGAUGUAGUUCCUCAACUU